AUGUAAGUUUUUGCGUGGAUUUUUAUUUAUUUUAAUAAUUGAUAAUCUUUAUGGUAAUCGCAGUAAUUAGUUUUAUUAAUCAAGUAAAUUUGGAAGUAGUAAUUUCAUAUAGUAUUGGCUAAAUUUGUGCCAGCAGCCGCGGUUAUACAAAUGAUGCAAAUAAAAUUAGUUCAGUGUGAGUUAAGUUUUAUAUAAAUAAAAUAAAUAUAAAUUUAUUAGGUGAAAUUUUUAAUUUAUUAAAUUUUAUUAUAAUGAUAUUGAAGCUUUUAAAUUUUGUCAGUAAACUAGGAUUAGAUACCCUAUUAUUUAGAAUGUAAUUUUAAACACUAAGGUAGUAGUAGUUAUGUUCUUGAAACUUAAAAAAUUUGGCGGUAUUUUAGUCUAUUCAGAGGAACCUGUCCUGUAAUCGAUAAUCCACGAUGUACCUCACUUUAAUUUGUUUUUCAGUUUAUAUACCGUCGUUAUCAGAAUAUUUUAUUAGAAUAAUAAUUUUCAGAUAUUUUUAUUUUAAAUCUAUAUCAGAUCAAGGUGUAGCUUAUAUUUAAGUAGAGAUGGGUUACAAUAAAUUUAUUUAAAUGGAUCUAAAUAUGAAAAAUUUAGUGAAAGUGGAUUUGAUAGUAAAAUUUUAAAGAUUAUAAAUUUGAUUUUAGCUCUAGAGUAUGUACACAUCGCCCGUCACUCUUAUUAUUAAGGUAAGAUAAGUCGUAACAUAGUAGAUGUA
rnacentral:rRNA from 1 species